rnacentral:rRNA from 1 species
ACAUGUCUUCAUGAUAUGAUAUAUGAAGUCUGAUCUGCCCAAUGUUUAAUUAAUGGCCGCGGUAUAUUGACUGUGCGAAGGUAGCGUAAUAAAUAGUCUAUUAAUUGUAGUCUGGUAUGAAGGAUUUGACCUAAGGGAGACUAUUCUUUUUAAUAAGAUGAAUUUUAAUAAUCAGUAAAAAUGCUGAUGUGAUUUUGAGGGACGAGAAGACCCUAUUGAGUUUAAUGUGAUCAGUUGAAAGAUUAUAUUUAAUUGUUAGCAUUUGAUUGGGGCGAUUUUAAACAUUAAACGUUUAGUUUAAUUUGUAUUAGUUAUUGAUCCAUUAUUAGUGAUUGUGAGAAUAAAUUACCAUAGGGAUAACAGCGUAAUUUUUUUUUAGAGUUCUUAUCGACAAAUAAGAUUGCGACCUCGAUGUUGAAUUAGGGUUCCUACAAGGAGUAGAAGAUUGAUAGGUAGUCUGUUCGACUAUUAAAUUCCUACAUGAUCUGA